GGUGUCGGUCUCCGUUGGUGACCAGCGGAGGGUCAUUACCGAGUUUACAACUCCCAAACCCCUGUGAACAUACCUUAUGUUGCCUCGGCGGAUCAGCCCGCGCCCCGUAAAAAGGGACGGCCCGCCGCAGGAACCCUAAACUCUGUUUUUAGUGGAACUUCUGAGUAUAAAAAACAAAUAAAUCAAAACUUUCAACAACGGAUCUCUUGGUUCUGGCAUCGAUGAAGAACGCAGCAAAAUGCGAUAAGUAAUGUGAAUUGCAGAAUUCAGUGAAUCAUCGAAUCUUUGAACGCACAUUGCGCCCGCCAGUAUUCUGGCGGGCAUGCCUGUUCGAGCGUCAUUUCAACCCUCAAGCCCAGCUUGGUGUUGGGAGCUGCAGUCCUGCUGCACUCCCCAAAUACAUUGGCGGUCACGUCGAGCUUCCAUAGCGUAGUAAUUUACACAUCGUUACUGGUAAUCGUCGCGGCCACGCCGUUAAACCCCAACUUCUGAAUGUUGACCUCGGAUCAGGUAGGAAUACCCGCUGAACUUAAGCAUAUCAAAA
rnacentral:rRNA from 1 species